UGUCAUGGAUAUGCUCUCUUUA
rnacentral:miRNA from 1 species